GGCAGCUGCUGCGGCAGCCGCUGGACGCAGACAGUGCUAGGGCAUCCUACAGGUGAGGACACUGAGGCACAGCAAGGGCGCAUCACCAAGAGCUGGGACAGACCGGAACCCAGGCAUCACUGCAAACGGCCCCUGCGGUCCCUGAUUGGGUCCUCCUCCUUUGGUGCCUGAGUGCCUCUGCCCUGUGUGCUGAUACCCUGGGACCCGGUGUGGACGGGAAGCACAGAGCGGCCGCCCACCUUCCAGAUGAGGCCGAGCCGCCCAGAGAGCCCCACGGAGGAAAGGGCUCCUUAAAGCUCUCCUCUCUGGAAACACCACAGAGUUCGGACAUCUCCUCCCCUGCUUGCUUUCUGUAUCUUUCAGUAGAACUCCUGUUUGAUUAUGGACGUCUGGGAGACGGGCUCUGAGAAACCACAGACACUCCUACCCCACAGAGAUGGGAAACCGUGCAGGUGUGAGUAAUACCACCUUCUAAAGAGCUGGAGUCUUGAGAGUUGUUUUUCUCCCCCCAUAACAUCUUGAAGCUGUGGCUGCCUCCACUGCUGCUGUUGCUGAGGCCAUCCCAGCUCAGGCCACUGCCUGGGGCAUUCAGGGCCCGGAACUGCCCCACGUAUGCUUGGGUGCACCAGGGAGCCAGGUCAACUUCUUGGUGUGCAUGCUGAGCACUGAGUGCUUGCUGUGCCUGUGGACCUGAGCUCAUGUGUUUGUGGGCUUUCCCUGCUCACAUGCAUGCUCCGUUGUUUCGUUGGACUUCACUUACAAGACCUAAGUUCAAAGAUACAACCAUUAAAAAUUUGAAGAUGGUAUCAACAGAGCAUUAAACCAAGCAUGGGGUCCCUUCUGCAAGUGGAGUCUUGUGCAACUACACUGGUUACAUGCUCACGAAGCUAGCCUUGCUGGGAGAACUUGCUGAUAAACCGUGUUACUGGAUGUCCUGCAUGCUACUGGCGGCUGCACUGUCAUUGGGGCACACAGGGAGGAGCAUGCAGAACAAAGAAGAGAAGCACCUUCCUCUUUCCAGUUUCCUCCAGUGCCCUCUACUAACAAAGCUUGAUAUCACGCCACUUGGAAAGAGAAAACAGUGAUACGGUUCAGCUCCGGUAUCCCAAUGCAGGAUAAAGAAUAGGUUUAGAGGGAGAAAGUGCUGACCCAAGUCACUUUGGAGAUGAGUGGAGUCUGUAAGACUAAAGGCAAAUGGAACUGCACAGAAGCAUUGCACCCUGGUUGAUAGUUUUGUCCAUGAGGGUACAGGUUAACAGUUCUGAAACCUAUACACGGACACUUGGAUGGAACAGUUAAGUAAAUGGUGGGGGCCAGGUUUCACACUGUUGGAGCGGGAGGUUACAGAUAAAGAAGAGGAGGAGGCUAGAAUGUUCCAUGUGGUAAUAGAUUAAAGUUGUAGAAAUCACAGUGAACCCAUGUUUGACUUAAUAUAGACACAUAUGGUUACAUAUAGCAGUAUUUAUAGAUAUGAAUAUAGACACUGGUUAGUACACACACAUACCUCCUCAAUCUGUCAGCUGAGAGGGAGGGCCCAGAAGCAAUGACACUCUAAUUGCAACAAGUUACAUCUAGCACCCAGAUAUUCGUUUCUAAUAAAAAGGACCGGGGCUCCUUGGAGAUAUGGCUGUUUCUAGGACUGAGGCAGGAAAUACACAAGAUGAGCCUGGAGUAUCUACAGUACCUGAAAGGAGGAAAGUGCUCAAAAGAGAAAAGAAAAGAAAAGAAAAGAAAAGAAAAGAAAAGAAAAGAAAAAAGACAAAGACAAACACUCCACAACGACGUGGGUAUGCCAAAGUGAUCCAGAUGCCAACUAAACCAGUUCCAAACGGCCAUAGCUGGAAUGAUUUGCGCAACAAAAUAAAUAAUGUAGUAUUAGAUUAUUUCCUAAAGUAUAAAAUAAAUAUCUAUGAGUCCAUUCUGAUAUAAAUAAAUGAUUGGAUACAUACAUAAGUGCGAGAGAAUAGACAAAUCUCUCCUGUCAAAGAAUUCUGAAUAAAUUAUGUAGAUAUUCCUCCGCCCCCAAGGCGGUAGAACACGGAAAAAGAGUGAAAAAAAGAGUAACUGACGAAAGGAGAACCUGACAAAAACCAUCUCAAGCCAGGUGAUCAGAGUCAGCCUCACAGUGAUAAAUCACACUAACAGCAUGCACCCUUUAAAUGAUGUGAUGAGAAGGGCCCAUGGCUCUGUGGUCUGCCUCCCCAAAGCACAUCAGCCCAUGAGAAAAACUUCAGACAAAUCCCACCUGAGGGACAUUCUCCACAAUAACUGACCUCAAAACUGUCAAAGUCAGCAAAAACGAGGAAAGCCUAAGAAACUGUCACAACCAAGAGGAGCCUAAAGAGACAGAAUUACUACGUGUAAUGUGGAGUCCUGGAUGGGAUGCUGAGGUAGAAGGGACAUUAGGGAAAAACUGAGGAAAUCUGAAUAAAGAAUGGACUUCAGUUAAUAAUAAUGUAUCAGUAUUGGUUCAUUAAUUGUAACAAAUGUACAGCAUGAAUGUAGGAAGUUAAUAAUAGGCAAAAGUGGGUGAGGGAUAUACAGGAAUUCUCUGUUCCGUCUUCACAAAUAUUCUGUAAAUCUAAAACUGC
ensembl:lncRNA